rnacentral:rRNA from 1 species
CCUACGGGAGGCAGCAGUGGGGAAUUUUGGACAAUGGGCGAAAGCCUGAUCCAGCAAUGCCGCGUGAGUGAAGAAGGCCUUCGGGUUGUAAAGCUCUUUUGUCAGGGAAGAAACGGUGAAAGCUAAUAUCUUUUGCUAAUGACGGUACCUGAAGAAUAAGCACCGGCUAACUACGCGCCAGCAGCCGCGGUAAUACGUAGGGUGCAAGCGUUAAUCGGAAUUACUGGGCGUAAAGCGUGCGCAGGCGGUUUUGUAAGUCUGAUGUGAAAUCCCCGGGCUCAACCUGGGAAUUGCAUUGGAGACUGCAAGGCUAGAAUCUGGCAGAGGGGGGUAGAAUUCCACGUGUAGCAGUGAAAUGCGUAGAUAUGUGGAGGAACACCGAUGGCGAAGGCAGCCCCCUGGGUCAAGAUUGACGCUCAUGCACGAAAGCGUGGGGAGCAAACAGGAUUAGAUACCCUGGUAGUCCACGCCCUAAACGAUGUCUACUAGUUGUCGGGUCUUAAUUGACUUGGUAACGCAGCUAACGCGUGAAGUAGACCGCCUGGGGAGUACGGUCGCAAGAUUAAAACGUCAAAAGUAGUAAGUCGGACGNGAGAGAGACGACGACGACGACGAGGAGGGAGGAGG